UAUGCCCCAUGUUGGCCCCAGUUUUGAUGUUUUUAAAAAGUAGAAAAAACUCAAAAGACAGAUCUAAAUACAUUAAAUUCAAACUUCAGUAAGUAAAGUCCUAUUGGAACAGAGCCACAUGCAUUCACUUAUAUAUUGCCUGGGCUGACUUCUUUCUACAGUGGCACAGCUGAAUUGCAACGGAGACCGUACGGCCUGCAAAGCUGAAAACAUUUACUAUCUGGCUCUGUACAGAAGACGUUUGGGAACCCUGGACUAUAGCUGAAUGCCUCACUAUGGAUUUCACCCAUGUCUUUACAACAACAUUUAAAGAUUCUCUCCCUCGGCAAGUCACACCCUUCUGAGACUUUAAGGAAGGCCUCUGAGGAGUCUGAAGAGCCAGCUAACUUCACCACCCCAUCUCCCAAGGUCUUCAACCAUGGUUCUCCUAACUCCAGCCUCCAGCCUUUGCAGAAAAGCGAUUCAACGCCUUGGAGAUGUGGGUGAAGUUUUAGGGAGCUCAGAAAUUAAAGUACAAGAGUUUGUA